rnacentral:rRNA from 1 species
AGUGAACGCUGGCGGUAGGCCUAACACAUGCAAGUCGAACGGCAGCACAGUAAGAGCUUGCUCUUACGGGUGGCGAGUGGCGGACGGGUGAGGAAUACAUCGGAAUCUACUUUUUCGUGGGGGAUAACGUAGGGAAACUUACGCUAAUACCGCAUACGACCUACGGGUGAAAGCAGGGGAUCUUCGGACCUUUCGCGAUUGAAUGAGCCGAUGUCGGAUUAGCUAGUUGGCGGGGUAAAGGCCCACCAAGGCGACGAUCCGUAGCUGGUCUGAGAGGAUGAUCAGCCACACUGGAACUGAGACACGGUCCAGACUCCUACGGGAGGCAGCAGUGGGGAAUAUUGGACAAUGGGCGAAAGCCUGAUCCAGCCAUACCGCGUGGGUGAAGAAGGCCUUCGGGUUGUAAAGCCCUUUUGUUGGGAAAGAAAAGCAGCAGGUUAAUCCCCCGCUGUUCUGACGGUACCCAAAGAAUAAGCACCGGCUAACUUCGUG